rnacentral:rRNA from 1 species
UUAAAUGGCCGCAGUAUCCUAACUGUGCAAAGGUAGCAUAAUCAUUAGUCUUUUAAUUGAAGGCUGGAAUGAAUGGUUGGACGAAAUAUUAACUGUUUCAUUAAAAUUUUUUAUAGAAUUUUAUUUUUUAGUUAAAAAGCUAAAAUAAAUUUAAAAGACGAGAAGACCCUAUAAAUCUUUAUAUUUUGUUUAUUUUAAUUAUAAAGAUUAUUUUUAUUAUAAUAGAUUAAAAUAUUUUAUUGGGGUGAUAUUAAAAUUUAAAAAACUUUUAAUUUUUAAAAACAUAAAUGUAUGAAUUAUUGAUCCAUUAAUAAUGAUUAAAAAUUUAAGUUACUUUAGGGAUAACAGCGUAAUUUUUUUGGAGAGUUCAUAUCGAUAAAAAAGAUUGCGACCUCGAUGUUGGAUUAAGAUAUAAUUUUGGGUGUAGCCGCUCAAAUUUUAAGUCUGUUCGACUUUUAAAUUCUUACGUGAUCUGAGUUCAAGCCCCGGAGCCGCUAUUAAGGGUUCGUUUGUUCAACGAUUAAAGUCCUACGUGAUCUGAGUUUCAAACCGGC